rnacentral:rRNA from 1 species
GACGAACGCUGGCGGCGUGCCUAAUACAUGCAAGUUGAGCGCUGAAGGUUGGUACUUGUACCAACUGGAUGAGCAGCGAACGGGUGAGUAACGCGUGGGGAAUCUGCCUUUGAGCGGGGGACAACAUUUGGAAACGAAUGCUAAUACCGCAUAAAAACUUUAAACACAAGUUUUAAGUUUGAAAGAUGCAAUUGCAUCACUCAAAGAUGAUCCCGCGUUGUAUUAGCUAGUUGGUGAGGUAAAGGCUCACCAAGGCGAUGAUACAUAGCCGACCUGAGAGGGUGAACGGGCAUAUUGGGACUGGGACACGACCCAAACUCUUACGAGAGGACGCGGUAGGGAAGCUUCGGCAAUGGAGGAAAGUUUGACUGUGCAGCGCCGCGUGAGUGAAGAAGGUGUUCGGAUCGUAAAACUCUGUGGGUAGAGCAGAGCGUUGGGGAGAGUGGAAAGCUCACCAAGUGAGGGGAACUACCCAGAAAGGGACGGCUAACUACAUG